CGCUUUACCGUGCUGUCAGACAGCCAUUUUCUUCUGGCACUACAUUUUCUCACCCGAAGGACUUCCGUAAUCCUACGCAUACGCGCCGCUCGCACAUCAGCUUUUAGGUCGUAGUUCAAGCGGUUUAUUGAAGAGACAACAAAUACAAGAAAAUAAAAAUGAGUGAUUAUGACAGCGACGAAGAAAUACGGUUCACUGUGGAGACAAGAGGAUGCCUUUAUGAGCCGGAGUAUACAGAAGAAGAACUGCUGCAGAUGGAGACUGAACGGGCUGAAAGAGAGAGAGAGAGGAGAAACUUCUGUGGAAACUAGAGGCCGAGCUGGAGGCCGAGAGAUGGAGGCCCAAGAUACCUGGUGGUGCAGAUGUAUAAACUGUGAGCCCAGUUUAUACAGGCAGCGCCUCGCACAAAGUCUGCAUCCCCAACCAUCCAGAGUUACCUGCCUUAUUGACUGCUGGUUUCUUGCGGACCUUCUUCAAUUUUCCGAAGAGAAAUUGGAAAAAACGUCCCAGACCGGAAGGGCCUAAUGACAGUUUGUCUUCAAAAGCUGAGCGUCUGCGGCGGAGCAGCUGUCUGCUUCUCCAAGCUGGCUGCCGGCCGACCCCCAUCUCCUGUAGGUAACACACUGACUAUCGAUAAGUACCUCAUAUAUACCCGAACUAUCCCUUUAAAAGUAGUAAGUACAGCUUGAAUACUAAAUAGUCACAAUCAUAAAAACACAGACAUGAUUGUGGAUUGUAGUUUAUCUGCUAUGAAAACUAAAAAAUCCCUACUUUACUCUUUACUUUUCACAAUGCAAAGUGCAAAAUCUUUCUUCUUGCAAAUACCAUCCAUUAAGAACUUCAGAAAAGAUAAAAUCAAACUUUUCCUCCUUAUCCUGUCUUACUCCACUCUAAACAUAACACCGCACCUAUUUCUGUACUUUACCCCUUCAGGAAACCUAAAACAGGAGUAAUUCAAAUGCAAAAUGUUAUAAAAGCAAAAUAAGUUUCUGUGCACAAAAUUUGUGAAAACUGUCCAAACAGACUUACAGGACCUUGUCAUAGCUAGGUGACAUGGCAUCUCCUUAACCUGGAUAAAGCUGAUGUUGCUCACCUGUGGAGCUACAGUAAAUAAGCAGGAAGGGCAAGAUGGAGGAUGAAGACAGAGAGAGGGAGGAAGAGGAGGAAAAGGUACAACAGCAGCAAACAAACAUGGAAGUGGAGUUAAAAAAGGAAGGUUAGAGUUUGAGGAGGACACCAGGGACCGUGAGAGACCCAGUAAGGCUGAGGUACUCACAGGCUGCAGUUUAUGCUUGAAGCUCAUGCUGAAGCGCACCACAGGGUAAACAGCGGGAGAAGACUAAAAGACUGCAAGAGAGAGCGAGGGAGAAGGCAAUCUCUGUCCAUCUGUAUCUCCCUCCCUCUUGCUCUCUCGCUCAUGCUCCCUGCCUGUAGCCCAACCCUCACAGCGGGAUCCUUUUUCAAACAUAAAAAAUUAUCCAGGUUCUCUAUGGAUGACAGCAUCCGCCUCCUCCACUAGUGCUCAACAAGCAAUAACUGCUAAAAGUCAAAGUAGGUCCUGCUUGACAUGACAAAAGACGAAACAGUCAAGUUGUAAUUGAACUAUGAUGCCAGUGCUUUCCUGUAACACUCUACUGUAUAUUCUUCACUAUUGACUACAACUUUUAGGCAGCCUGAUUUAUGGUUAGCUAAAUAAUACUGUGUAUUAACAUGUGUUACAACCAUGUCUGUUUGUUUUGUGUGUUUGUAUUUUUUGCAUAAUCCUCUUUGAGUCAGCAAAUUAUGGACAUAGAAAAUUAAAUCCAUGUUGUGCUGAUUCUGAGGUCACGUGUUGUUCUAUAAGUUACUCAAAGUCAUUAUUGCCUCAAAAAGAGACAGAUUAAAUACAUUGUACUUUUUUAAAACUAUGGCUGUAAUAUUAUAGUAGUGGCAUGUAUGAUUUAGAUUUUUCUAAAUAAUUGGAUAGUUUAGUACAUUUUUGUGUAAUUAACUGAUUGUAUUUAAAGAAACUAGAAAUUACCUCAUAUUCCACCCAGAUGUGGGCAUGAACUUAUAAUGUCUCUAACACCCAGUGAUGGUUGCUCUUGUAUAAUAAGUUUGAUCAAUCAGCAUGUUUAGAUCAUAACCCUUAGUGAAUAUAAACUUGUUUAACACAUACUUCAACUGUACACAGACACUUAUGUCACACAUUUUGAAAAUCAUGGUGCUCCCUUCCAAUUUAAACUGCAUCCAGAUUCCUCUACAGUUUCCUGUUGUAAGCUCAUUCAAAGCCAGGGGGCACCAUAUAAACACACUUCUGCUUUCCCAAACCACACACACUACAGUUACAGUGCACUGGGGCUUCUCUACAGUAACCAGUCUUUUACAAGCUACAGCCUCAUCAAUCACACUGUGUGCUUCAUGUUAUGCAGACAAAUCAAUAUGAACAAAGAUCAAUGACAGCCUUCAUUUCCCUUUCUGUAAGGUGCCAAUCGAAAUCCAAUUAUAAAGUCAGGAUAACAAGAAUUUUGUAUUGUAUAACGGAACAUAACCAAAAGUAAAGGCAACAUAUGCUUAUAGAUUUAGUUAUAAGUAAACAACAUGUUAAAACUUGCACUUGGUGUGGUUAUUGACCACUGCUGCAGUUUGUUCCCACAUGGCAGCAGCAACGAUUACUGUGAACUAAAACCUGACCUGCAGGGCUUGGCUUUAGUCUGUGACCCCACGACUAUGAUACGACUGCGAGUCAAUUCAAGCUGUUUUAACAGGACAAAAACUCAAACUGGCACCAACAUGAAGACGGCUAGAGGGGACUGCAGUGUGAUUUAGUGGGCAGUUGGAGGUUUGACAGAUGCACAGAGAGCAUGCCCUCCACUUCCAUUAGCUCCAGAGGCCAAGGUCACUGGCAGCGUCAAGCCACCGAGUGCCGCUCAAUAGCCUCACAGCCGUCGCCCUUUUUACUCACUUUCAUAACUACAUCUCACCAGAACCCGUCUCCACUCUCACAGAAAGCUUCACAGACACUCUGUGAUCCCCACACACACCCACACCAUCUGCUUAUGCAUCCUUAGACACUCAACAGUGAGUGCCUCCUUUUCUUUGCUGCCUACUGCUUAGAUACAACAAUACCUCAGGCUGUGAAUAAAACACUCUUAUAACUAUAACACAAUAAUGAUCAAUUUAAUUUGACACAAAACAUUUUAAACAAAUGCAUGUUUUGCUACCUUCUUACUAAAUAACUAAAACAACAUCGGUUUAGUCUAUUUUCAGUUAAUGAAAGUUUUAAAUGUUUGUAUGUGUUUCCAAAGAAAAGUGUUUUUAUUUCUGGGUUGGAAUGAGAAGAGGUAGAUUUAUGCAAAUGGACAAGCAGAGACAACCAACAUGGCUGAUGGGACAAAUAAAAAACUACAGAAACUUAAAGUCCCCCUCCACUCAAAAAUGUGUUUUAUUAUUGUUAAUUCACUUGGAUGUUUGAGCAUCACUGUGCAGAAUGAUGUAUGUGCAGAGCUUGACACUAGAAGCCUGUUUUCACAUUCAUCUGCUCAAGGGGGAAAGUUUCUCUGUGCGGUAAAUCUCAAUUUAACAUGUGUACAUACAAACAUGACUUUGUGACAUCACAACUAGUUUAGAAAGCCAAUCAUUGGCCCAAUAUGCAACUUACACAAGUGUGAUGUGGAAACUUGAAGCCUCCAGUGCACAUACACUAAGAAUGGACUUUUCAUUAAAGUAUGAGACAUUUUGUGUCCAGUAGUUUAACUUUUGAAUAUUAAUAGAUUCUGGAUUUUUUAAUGAGGGAGAAGGAGAAGAUGCAAUUUUAAGGAAUUUUAACAAGAUAAUAGAAGUUUUUCUGUGGAAAAACCACAUGAGACAAAUUAUUAUUCAAAGCAGUCAUUUUUUAUGUCUUAAUGAAUGUCUGGAGGACAUCAUAGAGUGUUUGACAGCUAAAACACCAAAGCAUAACCUAAUGCACUAGGAUUUCACAGAAUCUAUCCACAUCACACCAAACACAUACAAAAGACAAUACUAAAAGUAUAGUAUUGUUUUCCAUCAAACAAGAUAAAAUUUCUGCAAAAGUGGCCAUAUAAUUUAUCAUUUUUAAUGCAGUUUUCAGAGGGAGAUUCAUAAAUUGCCACUAGAUUGUUAAUUUAUAUAAUGUUAUAAAACAGCUAUUGAAACAAGUUGAUUUGUACUGGAAACAGGUCAAAAUAUCUUAGCCCUUUGACUAAAAACAAGAUUUAAAGGCAUAAAAUUGUUGUUAAGAUGAAGAAGACCUGAGGAAGAUUGUGUGUGGUCUGUCAACAGGAGACAUACCAGAGACAGAUAGCUGUAAUAACUACACUCUACCAUCCAACCGAAACAUACCGAAGAGUAAAACAAACCUACUGAGCAGCAGACAAACACUCCACUGCCAUGCUAACAGAGGAGCGCUCACUUUUUAUCCAAACUUGUACUUGACGUCAACAGAGUCGAGAUAACAAGUUAAGUGUUCUGCCAGGCCUUUUAGGAGGCCUUCUGUUUGUGCCAGUCAGUUUUUCCAGGGCCACAGAAGCCACGUUGCUUCCGCAUUGUGCAGCGAGUCACAGCCAGCUGUCGAUACCACUGUCCCUCCUGGUGUGAAGAAGUGAGAUCUCACCACUACCAAGGCAGCAACAUUCAAUCACAAAGCAGUCACAUACAAUAACAGUGCUGCGCAAAUAGAUUUCAAAUUUAGGACCCAUUGAUGAACGCACAUUUAGAAGCUAUGCAUGCUACAUGUCUGAUAGUGGCCGUUAUUUCUGGCGAAUACCUAAAUCCUGUCUGAGUUUAAUAGAGAUUUGUACAAUGAUGAAUUUAAAUGCCUACAGGCAGACUCAAUUCUGUAUCUAUAGGUUAGGUGCCAUCAAAUUUUGCAGGAACGCUGGGAGUUACAAUCAUCUAAAUUUGGUAGCAUUUGCACAUUGUGUUCUGUAUCAAAUAUUAUGCAAUUUCACCUCAAUCUAAUAUAUUUGCAGUCUCAUGCAAAUAUAUUAUAUACCAAUUGGGGAAGAUUGCAUGCAUACUGAUCGAUUCAUCUUGAACCAAGAAAUCCAAAGAAAAAAUAACUUUGUUUACCCUACACCACAGAGUUAAGGGGAUUCUUCAAAGAAGCAUUUUUACGGAGUUAUCUGGAUUACUUUGCUGAGUAAAACAUGGACCAAUUCUUUUUAAUUCAAUCAUAUUCCAGAUUUGAUGAAGGCUGUCUGUCAACACAACCAAAUGUAAAGUGCUUUACAAAUGGCCUGAUGCUCAUGCUCUUGUAUCUAGAUUUUCACCAAAAACUACAUAAUUUGUUCCUUGGCCCAUGGCCCAAUUUCCUACCAAAUUUCAUUGAAAUCUGUUAGCAAGUUUUUGAGCUAUCCUGCUAAAUUACAAACCAACAGCCAAACAAACAGAUAAACUGGGCCAAAAACACUACCUCUUUGGCUCAGUGUGUUUGGAAUGAAAGUCAACUGACCUUUGUGGAAGCCCCUCAGAUAAUCUGGGUUAAUGUGAUGCACUGAGGGAGCCCCACAGUGUCCGACAGGCGGCUCUGUCCUGGACCUGGAACAGGCAACUACAUGACAUUUUGGUUGUGAGUGUGUGUGUGUGUUGGUGCAGAUGUGUAAAGUAAAUACAUGUAUUCAAUCAAGUAGUAAACUAUUUCAGUACUUACAAUUUUGAGGUGCCACUACUUUGAAUAUUACCAGUUUAUAUUAUUACCGGUUUCUGAGACUACUUUUUCUCUAAAUUUCUGAGGUAAAUAUUGUGGUUAGUAUUCCACAACAUUUAUCAAACGGCUUCAUCUAAGAGUCACUUUGCAAAUUCAGAUUUAAUAUUCAAUUUAACAUAAGCUCAUAAAAUGUGCAAACAAUUCCAAAAAGAAAGUCUCUGAAAUAUUAUUAUAUUUAUAUUAAUAUUAUAUUUUUAGGAACCCAGGGAAACAAGUGUGCUUCACCUUGACAACACAAUGUCUUUUAGACAUUAACUAGAGGGUUUUAGAAGAAUUUCUUGAAGUGCACAGGAGUAUGUUAUGCUUCAAUUGAUCUGAAAGCAGGAAAAAUCUCGAACUACACUUCGUUGUUUCAUUAUCUCCAAUUUCCGGAAUUGAACACUUGCACAUUUUACUGAUAAUACUUAUUUAUUUGCAGAAACUUGUAUUGGAGUAUUUUUCCAUUGUGGUUCUUCUUCCACUGCUGUGUGUGAGGUAACAGUGUGCCAAAAUGUGCACAGAGACACGGUAGUGUGAUGACAGGUGGCUGAUGAGUGUGUUCUACUGCUGGUGCCAUAGAUGUCACACCUCAGAGACAAUGACUGGAUGUGACAGUGCGACUAGAUCAACUACAAUUAUGGCCAACAACCUGACCUUAUCGACAGGAAUGCGUCCCAGUCAGACACUCACUGCUGUUGGUUCGGUGGUCUCCAGGUCGACUGUUCCAUUCCGCCCUGAUGCCAUCAAUGUCGUCCAGUGAUGAGGCGCGUCGGAGGCUGCGGACACUGUCUCGAGAACAGCUCCGAGGUAACGUCCCCCUGGGGAAGGCGAUGCUGGGGUCCAGCCGGUCUGUCAGCAGGGAGCGCUGCUUGGUGGAGGACUGGGCUACAGGGGAGGGAGGAUCCAGGUCUUGUUCUAUCAGAGCUUCUGUCUCAGACUGCAUGCAGCUCUCCUUGGACGGGAUCCGAAACUCUUUGAGAGGGACUUCCUCGCUGUUUGGCUGUCAAGGACAGAGAGUAGGAGGCCAUGUCUCAGGUGUAGAAAAAUUCUAAAAAACCACACGCUAUGAGUAUUUCUUAGAAAAAUAUUAUCUGUCAGCAGCUUUUCCAAAAUUCUGUUGUGAUUUGCAAAUCAGGUCAACCAAGCGUAUAGCCUACAAUACAAAGUAGACCUGUAAAAGAAAGGAAUGUUUCAUUCAUUUUCAUUCCUGCCCAACAUGUAAGUUUGCCUGACUUGGCCCCGUACAGUUCCGGUGUCAGGUAUGGAUACUGUCGGGAAAUAGUUUCUCACAAGAAGUGAUUUAUCAAAACACAAGAGAAGUCUAAACAGAAGUAAUGGGAGACUGAGAAGAGAAAGAUGAACUCAGCAAUUGUAGAUUUUUUUCCACUCAUUCUUCCCUUUGGUGUCUUUUGGGCUGAGAAAUCAGUUCUUUAAUUUCAAACAAUGCUCACUGCUGUUUUAUUCGGCCAACACGUGAAACUGCACAGUGCAUAUUCAAUGGUUGGAAUUUCAUACGUGAAAAGCCCACACCAAAAGAGUUUGUUGUCUCUAAAUAAUUUGAGUGUAGAAGGUUUUUUGUUUUGUGCUCUCCAUGCAUGUGUGAAUAACAGUAAAGUCAGUGUAGAGGCAGUGUCAGCAGUAAGUUAAAAAAUGAUGUCAUUGCAUAGGGCAUGCAUAGUAGAUAUGUAGUAUUACUUUUUUUGUAUAGAUUUUAGCUACUGUCACAUGUCAGUACAUACUACAGCAGAAUGCAAGGCAUGCAUACACACAAGCAUACUACAUUGCAAGAUCUCUUGUGUGUGUUGUAAGUGUGUGUACACCACCUCACCUGCAGGUAGUCCACUACCACUCCUUCAAACUGAUCUUUGGAAAGUGAAUGUCGUCGCAUGGACCGCAGCACCGGCAGCCUCAUCUUCAACCUGCGAUUCUGACCUGAGGGGGAAACUGUGUUCAGCUCAGCCAUUAUCAAAACUCCAACUUUAUCUACUACAAAUGAUGUUCAUAUGCAAUUAUUUUGUAUAACCCAAAAUACUUUUUGGGACACACUUUCACCUGGAUUAAGUUUUUUUUACUGCAUCAGACAGGGUCUUCUUUUUGUACAUGUACAGUUGGUAAUUCCUACUAUGUCCAUGACUGUAAACUAAAACCAUGGUUUAGUUAAUAAUUAAAAUGUCCACACUGACCACUGUGA